rnacentral:rRNA from 1 species
AUUCCAGACUCCUACGGGAGGCAGCAGUGGGGAAUAUUGCACAAUGGGGGAAACCCUGAUGCAGCGACGCCGCGUGAGCGAAGAAGUAUUUCGGUAUGUAAAGCUCUAUCAGCAGGGAAGAAAUUGACGGUACCUGAGUAAGAAGCUCCGGCUAAAUACGUGCCAGCAGCCGCGGUAAUACGUAUGGAGCAAGCGUUAUCCGGAUUUACUGGGUGUAAAGGGAGCGUAGGCGGCCUGCCAAGUCUGAUGUGAAAAACCGGGGCGCAACCCCGGGGCUGCAUUGGAAACUGGCAGGCUGGAGUGUCGGAGAGGCAGGCGGAAUUCCUAGUGUAGCGGUGAAAUGCGUAGAUAUUAGGAGGAACACCAGUGGCGAAGGCGGCCUGCUGGACGAUGACUGACGCUGAGGCUCGAAAGCGUGGGGAGCAAACAGGAUUAGAUACCCCCGUAAC